rnacentral:ncRNA from 2 species
CGACGCGCAGCGGGAGAGACCCGCUCGGCCACACCGAUCGGGCGCCGUAGGAGCAAUUCCUCCCCGGGAAACUCUCAGGCCCAAGCACCGCCGCGCCGAG